rnacentral:rRNA from 1 species
AGAGUUUGAUCAUGGCUCAGAACGAACGCUGGCGGCGUGCUUAACACAUGCAAGUCGAACGCGAAAGUUUUCUUCGGAAAGCGAGUAGAGUGGCGCACGGGUGAGUAACGCGUAAGUAAUCUACCCUGGUAUCUGGGAUAACCCACCGAAAGGUGUGCUAAUACCGGAUACGCUGAUUUAUCAGGAAAGAUGGCCUCUUCAUGAAAGCUAUCGUACCAGGAGGAGCUUGCGUACCAUUAGCUAGUUGGUAGGGUAAUGGCCUACCAAGGCGACGAUGGUUAGCGGGUCUGAGAGGAUGAUCCGCCACACUGGAACUGAAACACGGACCAGACUCCUACGGGAGGCAGCAGUGAGGAAUAUUGCGCAAUGGGGGAAACCCUGACGCAGCGACGCCGCGUGGAUGAUGAAGGCCUUCGGGUCGUAAAAUCCUGUCAGAUGGAAAGAAGUGUAUAUUGCCUAAUACGUGAUAUAUUUGACGGUACCAUCAAAGGAAGCACCGGCUAACUCCGUGCCAGCAGCCGCGGUAAUACGGAGGGUGCAAGCGUUGUUCGGAAUUACUGGGCGUAAAGCGCGCGUAGGCGGCUAUCUAAGUCAGAUGUGAAAGUCCACGGCUCAACCGUGGAAGUGCAUUUGAAACUGGGUGGCUUGAGUACUGGAGGGGGUGGUGGAAUUCCCGGUGUAGAGGUGAAAUUCGUAGAUAUCGGGAGGAAUACCGGUGGCGAAGGCGACCACCUGGCCAGAUACUGACGCUGAGGUGCGAAAGCGUGGGGAGCAAACAGGAUUAGAUACCCUAGUAGUCC